UCUCCGUAGGUGAACCUGCGGAGGGAUCAUUCGCAUGAUUUACUUUAUAAACAAACCGUGAACUUUAUAUACUUUUCGUGUUGUAAUGUUCAUCAUUAUUUACACUGUCAUUCGGUGAACAUUAGAUAGCUGGCUCGUUUAUUUACAAACUUUCUCAGCUGAUUUGUUCGUUAGACUAAAAAUCUAUUCAAUCAAUCAACCAAACAUAGACACAGCUCUAUGCCCUGGAUAUCUUGGUUCUC
rnacentral:misc_RNA from 1 species